UACGAAUGGGGCAAGCGUUGUUCGGAAUAACUGGGCUUAAAGCGUGCGCAGGCGGUCUUGAAAGUCAGAAGUGAAAGCCUGGGGCUUAACCCCAGAAUUGCUUUUGAAACUCCAAGACUAGAAUCCCGGAGAGGUUAGCAGAAUUCCGAGUGUAGAGGUGAAAUUCGCAGAUAUUCGGAGGAAUACCAAUGGCGAAGGCAGCUAACUGGACGGGCAUUGACGCUCAGGCACGAAAGCGUGGGUAGCAAACAGG
rnacentral:rRNA from 1 species